rnacentral:tRNA from 1 species
GAGCGCGUAGCUCAGCCGGUAGAGCACAUGACUUUUAAUCAUGGGGUCGAGGGUUCGAGCCCCUCCGCGCUCACCA